CCGAAAAUAACACCAGUUUGAAAGUUUGGCGGCGUUGACCAAGCGUUGACGAUUUAGAAAAAGGAGCUAAAAUGGAUACCAGCCUGUCCAGACUUCUUGUUGGACUCUCUGUAAAAAUCGUCCGCAGCGAUGGCCGAGUGCAUCUGGCAACGGUGAAGUCUGCGGAUAGUGUCAAGCACGUAGUAAUGGUUGAAUGGAAUGAAAGAAAUAUAUGCAGAGGAAAGGA